GAUGAACGCUAGCGGGAGGCCUACCACAUGCAAGCCGAGCGGUAUUGUUUCUUCGGAGAUGAGAGAGCGGCGUACGGGUGCGGAACACGUGUGCAACCUACCUUUAUCUGGAGGAUAGCCUUUCAAAAGGAAAAUUAAUACUCCAUAAUAUAUUGAAGGGCAUCAUUUGGUAUUGAAAGCUCCGGCGGAUAGAGAUGGGCACGCGCAAAAUUAGCUAGUUGGUGAGGUAACGGCUCACCAAGGCGAUGAUCUUUAGGGGGCCUGAGAGGGUGAUCCCCCACACUGGUACUGAAACACGGACCAAACUCCUACGGGAGGCAGCAGUGAGGAAUAUUGGACAAGGGGUGCAAGCCUGAUCCACCCAUCCCGCGUGAAGGACGACGGCCCUAUGGGUUGUAAACUUCUUUUGUAUAGGGAUAAACCUACCCUCGUGAGGGUAGCUGAAGGUACUAUACAAAUAAGCACCGGCUAACUCCGUG
rnacentral:rRNA from 1 species